UAAAUUGCAUACGAACUGUAAGAUACAUACCAUCUGCAGGAGGCAACUGAUGGUUAACUCCACAGAAAGAAAGGUGAAAACUGAAGAUAAAUAUGAGAAAUACACAUGAGAAACGAUAAAGGAGGAGAGAACACAAUCAGCUCACAAGUUUUCAUGGGUUGUCAACACCAGAAUAAGCCCAGUUUUAUAAUUCUACGUUGUGCCAAAAUCCUUGAGGGUGCUCCAGAUGUAAAUAUCAAAAGUGACAGUUGUGCUAAGAAGAAGUGAACGUUUGAGAACAAAUGGAUAUUAUGAUAUCAAYGGACAACCAGUUAUUUCAUAUAAAGAGACACCUUUCAGGUAUAUUA